rnacentral:tRNA from 1 species
CGGNNGUCGCCAAGUGGUAAGGCAUCGGAUUUUGAUUCCGACAUUCGUAGGUUCGAUCCCUACCUCCCCAGCCA